rnacentral:rRNA from 1 species
ACGAGUGGUGCAAGCGUUAUUCGGAGUGAUUGGGCGUAAAGGGUGUGUAGGCGGUAUGCUAAGUCAGUUGUCAAAUACCUCGGCUUAACCGAGGAACGGCAGUUGAUACUGGUGUACUUGAGGAUGGAAGAGAGAAGUGGAAUUCUCGGAGUAGCGGUAAAAUGCGUAGAUCUCGAGAGGAACACCGAUGGCGAAGGCAGCUUCUUGGUCCAUUCCUGACGCUGAAACACGAAAGCGUGGGGAGCAAACA